rnacentral:rRNA from 1 species
AUGGUUGGUGAAGGAGAUAUGCCUGGUAGUGAAACAGAGGGUUCUCCAAAUAGGACCUCUCGGCGGGACUCAAAACGGGCUGCUAAGCGGAAUGAGCUGGCAUCUUCAGGCUUUUCUAGUUGCACAAGAUUAAAUGAUUUUGGUAGGGUUCACGAUGACGGUGAGGAGCUGAGGACAGAAGGGGCAUUGGACAUGGGGGGUGGAGAAACCGCGUUGCGGCGUGCGCCGCGCAACGAGCGCGGUGGGCACGGCGGUGUGUGUGUGCUGCUGGCCGCUGCCGGUGCCACACCCGUCCUGCCGGCUAAUCGUCUCAUCACGCCACGUCGCCUCUUUUCCUUCUAUAUAAUCUCUCUUCUCUUGGAGUCGCUGCUGCUUCUCGAGAAAGCCAUCUCUUUUUUUUCCGGUUUCUUUCUCCUUCCAUGA